AUUGAACGCUGGCGGCGUGCCUGACACAUGCAAGUCGCACGCGAAAGGGGGCAACACCAAGUAGAGUGGCGGACGGGGGAGUAACGCGUAGGAAUCUACCUAGUAGUGGGGGACAACCCGGCGAAAGACGGGCUAACACCGCAUACGACCUAAGGGUGAACGCAGGGGAACGCAAGACCUUGCUCUGCUAGCUGAGCCGGCGUCCGCUUAGCGCGUUGGUGAGGGAACGGCACACCAAGGCGACGAUCGGUAACUGGGUUGAGAGAACGACCAGUCGAAUUGGGACUGAGACACGGCCCAAACGCCGACGGGAGGAAGCAGUGGGGAAGAUUGGACAAUGGGGGCAACCCUGAUCCAGCGACGCCGCGUGUGGGAAGAAGGCCUUCGAGUUGUAAAGCACUUUCGGCAGGGACAAACAAGACGGAGCUAACAUCUCCGUUCCUGAUGGUACCUGAAGAAGAAGCACCGGCUAACUCUGUGCCAGCAGCCGCCGUAA
rnacentral:rRNA from 1 species